UACGAAGGGGGCUAGCGUUGCUCGGAAUUACUGGGCGUAAAGGGCUCGUAGGCGGCCAACUAAGUCAGACGUGAAAUCCCCAGGCUCAACCUGGGAACUGCGUCUGAUACUGGAUGGCUUGAAUCCGGGAGAGGGAUGCAGAAUUCCAGGUGUAGCGGUGAAAUGCGUAGAUAUCUGGAGGAAUACCGGUGGCGAAGGCGGCAUCCUGGACCGGCAUUGACGCUGAGGAGCGAAAGCUAGGGGAGCAAACGGG
rnacentral:rRNA from 1 species